AUUGCUUCUCGGCCUUUUGGCUAAGAUCAAGUGUAGUGUGAAAGUUUUCAGUUUUUGACCAAUUAGUAUGUUGUUGGCUGUUGGUUUUUCAUAGAUAGCCUUUAUCAAGUUGAGAUAAAGACCUUCUAUUCCAAUUUUCUGUAGGGUUUUUAUCAUGAAU
ensembl:snRNA U2 U2 spliceosomal RNA